UUUAGCUUUUACUUAGCACAUUCCGAUGUGCCUGUGGUUCUCGGAGUGACAGGAAGUGAAGACAGGCCCAGAACUGAUCCUUAAAUCUACACCAGUUUAAGGAUUGAUUCAUAGCCGCAAUUGUCUAAAUUGACGGCUCCAUGUCUUUCUUAGCAGAUAAUCCAUUUAACCGGGUCAGGUGACGAAGAAGGUUAAAUAUUUGUUUCAACACAGAAUCCACAUCUUAGAAGCCACAAUUUCUUUAUUAUUAACAUCCUUUCUUCCUGCCGUUCUCCUCUGAUUGUUAGAGGAGCGGCUGUUUAACGGUAUAACACCAGAAGUUUUCUCUUAUCCUAUUUUUGGACAAGGUAAUUGGAUUUUAAAUGCUUAAGAGUACAACCUACAGAGGACGUAGUUGCGCAAUUUGCCGACAGGAUAUGUGCAUCGGUACGUUUAGGCUGUAUAUAACAUAGCAGCUAGUUGCUUGCCCAUCUACUAUCAAUACGGACUGCUAAUACAAAAGCUACAAAUGGUUUCUUCUAAAACAAUUUAUACAUUUUGGAUGACCAACACUCUGCUUUGGAGUUAGUGCUGUCGUUAAUACUUAGAUAUUAUCUGACCGGGGAAAAAAAAUUAUGUCACUGAAUUCCUAUUAGGGAAGGUUAUGCUUGCCUUGGAAAGAGUACUAUGAAAGUGCCCUAGAAUGAAUCGUGGAUGAGAAGAUUAUCCUAGGAGCAGAGAUUACGUAGAAUAAGUCUGUAUUGUCUGUCGAAGGGUCAUGAGGACUCGAAACGUCAACUCUUUUCUUCUCCGCCGAUGCUGCCAGACCUGCUGAGUUUUUCCAGGUAAUUCUGUUUUUGUUUUGGAUUUCCAGCAUCCGCAGUUUUUUUGUUUUUUUUUGUCUGGAGUUUAGGUGAUCUCGAUGGAAGAAAUGCCGGGGAGAGGGCUUGAUAGGAUGAAUGAUGCAACUGUAUUUUCCUGAUGGGAGACUGUAAACUAGAGGUCUUAGAUUUAGGAUAAAAGGUCUGCCAUUAAGGACUAAGAUGAAAAUUCUCUUCAUUCAGAGAGUUGUGGUCGCUCAGUUGUUGAGUUUUUUCAAAGCUGAGACUGAUAGAUUUUAAGGGAACCAAGGGACAUGGGGAUAGAGCAGGAAAGUGGAGUGCAGGUUGAAGAUUAGUCACAAUCUUAUUGAAGGAUGGAGCUAAAUUGAUGGCCAAAUGGUCUACUCCUCCCAUUUCUGAUGUAACAUUGGAGAAUGUAUCUGAUCUCUCAUACUGGUCAAUGGUAGUGGGCCAAAUGCAAAGACUAAUAUAUUUCUAGAAAGGUAUGACAUUAUACCAUUAAGCAUAACCAUUGGGUUGAUGGAGAGUAAGGGGAAAGUUUUCCCUACCAUGGGUUAUGUCCCCAUUUCUAUUGCUUUGAUAUACCUCACCCCAGAACUUUUUGCCUCUGCAUUAUAGUUCCAUUUUUGUGAAAAUGUAAAACAUUUGACUCAAAAACAGAAGUAUCAUUCAGGGGUUCUGAUGAAAGGUCAAGUAAGGCUGGUUAGCUCUGAUGGUUAAAGCAUAGUGCUUAAUAAUGCCGCUGUAUCGGCAGAGGUAGUUUUUGGGGCCUGCCUCUUCUACUUGCCCAUUGUGAUAUCAUGGAAUGACUGCUAGAGAUAGAGAAGUGUGGAGAGCCAUGGUUAGCAAUCCUUGGACUACCAAGGAAGCUACAUGAAGAAAGAGAGAGAUGGAUGGUCGUUGACCUGAAACAGUAACUCUUGUUUCAAUCUCCAUGGAUGCUGCCUAACCUGUUGAGAGUUUGCAGCAUUUUCUGUUUUUAUAUUUCAGAUUUCCAGUGUUUGUCAUAUUUUACUUAGCUUGAAGAGUAUAGUUCAGGAGUCAGAUUGGCAUUCUCACUCCUAAGUGUGUUUGACCAAAGAAGUGAAACUGUCCUCACUGGGUGGUUUCACAUGCUUGCCACUCCAAGCCAACCCCAAUUUACCUUGCUUCUGGAAUACAACACCAUGUUGAAUUUUGUAGCUGGUAGUCAAACAAGCAAAAUCCAUUGUUGGGAUGGUGUUUUUGAAUAACUCACUUCCUUUGAUGUAAACUGUCACUUCAUUCCACUGUACUAUGAAUCAUGUUUUGUUGAUGAGUUUGCUGUGUACAUGAACUUCCAUGUGUGCAGACUUCAUUAUAAAUUCACCUCUGUGGAGGGAUAACUUUGAUCAAUCCAAUAAAACUGAUCAGUGUUGGACCCAUA